rnacentral:rRNA from 1 species
UACGUGGGGGGCUAGCGUUGUCCGGAAUUAUUGGGCGUAAAGAGCUCGUAGGCGGUCCGUCGCGUCGAAUGUGAAAACCCGGGGCUCAACCCCGGGCCUGCAUUCGAUACGGGCGGACUAGAGUUCGGUAGGGGAGACUGGAAUUCCUGGUGUAGCGGUGAAAUGCGCAGAUAUCAGGAGGAACACCGGUGGCGAAGGCGGGUCUCUGGGCCGAUACUGACGCUGAGGAGCGAAAGCGUGGGGAGCAAACAGG